UACGUAGGGUGCAAGCGUUGUCCGGAAUUAUUGGGCGUAAAGAGCUCGUAGGCGGUCUGUCGCGUCGGCUGUGAAAUCCCGAGGCUCAACCUCGGGUCUGCAGUCGAUACGGGCAAACUAGAGUAUUGCAGGGAGACUGGAAUUCCUGGUGUAGCGGUGAAAUGCGCAGAUAUCAGGAGGAACACCGGUGGCGAAGGCGGGUCUCUGGGCAAUAACUGACGCUGAGGAGCGAAAGCGUGGGGAGCGAACAGG
rnacentral:rRNA from 1 species